rnacentral:misc_RNA from 1 species
GGUUAAUAUUUACCAGUGUGUUAGGUGAAUGUGUAUAUGUGCUCAGGAAACUCAGCCCACAGUUAAAGGUUGGUAAGUGCAUAAUAUGAAAUGGAAAAUAUGUUCAUGAAAGAAAAAAAACAUAUUAUUUCUGUACAGUUUACUGAAUAUAUUGCAAUACUACUGCUCAAUUAAUUAUUGUUAUUAUUAUCCCAUCACCUAUUCAAUUCAAUUCAAUUUUAUUUAUAUAGCGCCAAUUCAUAAUUUACAUUAUCUCAAGGCACUUUACAUUUAAAGGUCAAGACCUUAAAACAAUAUUAACAUAGAGAAACCCAACAGUUCCCACAAUGAGCAAGCACAGGCGACUGUGGAGAGGAAAAACUCCCUCAUUAACAGGGAGAAACCUCUGGCAGAACCAGGCUCAAUGUGGGCGGUCAUCUGCCUCGACCGGUUGGGGUGAGGAAAGAAAAGUAAGGGGGGAGGAAAGGAGAGAUGGGUGGAAAGCGGGGGAGAGAAGAGAGAGAUGAGGUGGAGAGAGAGAGACCGGUAACAAUUUGGCACCAUCAAAAUCAAGGCUAACCAUAACAAUAACAAUGUAUAGAUCUACAACAUGACUAGAUAUAUUAAUGAAUUGCUGAGUUCUUGUAAUAAAUGCAGACAAUGGUGAUGGUGGUCGUUGUGGUCCUGUAGUCCCGGUGCCGGAGUUAUCUGAAACGAGAUAGAGAGAAGAGCCAGAGGGACUAUGGGAGGACAAAGUGACACUUUGACAUGAUGACAUGUUAAAACUAAUAAAUAAAUAAAUAAACAGGUG